CAAAAUUGAGAGGAUGGUACAGACACCUACUAUAUACCCCUUGAUCUUACACAUCUAUGGCCUCCAGAAUUAUUAGUGUAACCAGAGUGGCUUCUUUCACUUAAUAAAUCUGAGAAGUGAUAGGACUCCCCCAGGAGCCCAAGGUGACAGAGAGCCUGAGCUUGGAUUCACAAUGCUUUUUGUUAAUCAGACCCUGAAUAUCAGCCUCCAUCACAGCCAGCUAUCAGGAAUCCCUGGAGUGUCUUGGUACCUUUGCUCCUGGUAUGAUAAAACCAAGGUUACACAAAGCCAGGCAGUCUACAACUCACGAAAUGGCUAGUGCAUAAUACUCCUGAGGGUAGAAAGAAUGUGUAAUCUCCACUGUCCUUUUUAU
ensembl:lncRNA